rnacentral:rRNA from 1 species
GAGCGGUAGAGAGGAGCUUGCUUCUCUUGAGAGCGGCGGACGGGUGAGUAAUGCCUAGGAAUCUGCCUAGUGGUGGGGGAUAACGUUCGGAAACGGACGCUAAUACCGCAUACGUCCUACGGGAGAAAGCGGGGGAUCUUCGGACCUCGCGCCAUUAGAUGAGCCUAGGUCGGAUUAGCUAGUUGGUGAGGUAAUGGCUCACCAAGGCGACGAUCCGUAACUGGUCUGAGAGGAUGAUCAGUCACACUGGAACUGAGACACGGUCCAGACUCCUACGGGAGGCAGCAGUGGGGAAUAUUGGACAAUGGGCGAAAGCCUGAUCCAGCCAUGCCGCGUGUGUGAAGAAGGUCUUCGGAUUGUAAAGCACUUUAAGUUGGGAGGAAGGGUUGUAGAUUAAUACUCUGCAAUUUUGACGUUACCGACAGAAUAAGCACCGGCUAACUUCGUGCCAGCAGCCGCGGUAAUACGAAGGGUGCAAGCGUUAAUCGGAAUUACUGGGCGUAAAGCGCGCGUAGGUGGUUCGUUAAGUUGGAUGUGAAAGCCCCGGGCUCAACCUGGGAACUGCAUCCAGAACUGGCGAGCUAGAGUACGGUAGAGGGUGGUGGAAUUUCCUGUGUAGCGGUGAAAUGCGUAGAUAUAGGAAGGAACACCAGUGGCGAAGGCGACCACCUGGACUGAUACUGACACUGAGGUGCGAAAGCGUGGGGAGCAAACAGGAUUAGAUACCCUGGUAGUCCACGCCGUAAACGAUG